CUGAACUUUGUAGCCAAUGAUAACUAUUUCAAAACAGUUAUGUACUCCUCCUCAUUUUUUCUUGUAAGAGCCUUUGUCUUCCUUUACCUUCCUGAAUCUGCACAUAGUUUACUAUGCCAUG